rnacentral:rRNA from 1 species
UCAAGCCGGAGGAAGGUGGGGAGUGACGUCAAGUCAGCAUGGCCUUUAUAUCCUGGGCUACACACACGCUACAAUGGGAAGGGACAAUAGGUUGCGAAGCCGCGAGGCGGAGCCAAUCCAGCAAAACUUCCCUCAGUUCAGAUUGCAGGCUGCAACUCGCCUGCAUGAAGUUGGAGUUGCUAGUAAACGCAGGUCAGCCAUACUGCGUUGAAUACGUUCCCGGGGCUU